UACGUAGGGUGCAAGCGUUGUCCGGAAUUAUUGGGCGUAAAGAGCUCGUAGGCGGUCUGUCGCGUCUGCUGUGAAAACUCAGGGCUUAACCCUGAGCUUGCAGUGGGUACGGGCAGACUAGAGUGCGGUAGGGGAGACUGGAAUUCCUGGUGUAGCGGUGAAAUGCGCAGAUAUCAGGAGGGAACACCGGUGGGCGAAAGGCGGGUCUCUGGGCCGUAACUGACGC
rnacentral:rRNA from 1 species